AGCUGACAUUAGAUACCCCCGUAGUCCCAGCCGUAAACUAUGCGCGUUAGGUGUACUGGUGACCACGAGUCACCGGGGUGCCGAAGGGAAACCGUGAAACGUGCCGCCUGGGAAGUACGGUCGCAAGGCUGAAACUUAAAGGAAUUGGCGGGGAGCACCACAACAGGUGGAGCCUGCGGUUUAAUUGGAUUCAACGCCGGACAUCUCACCGGAUAAGACAGCUGAAUGAUUGUCAAUCUGAAGGUUUUACAUGACUAGCUG
rnacentral:rRNA from 1 species